rnacentral:rRNA from 1 species
AGAAAGCGUAAUAGCUCACUGGUCGAGUCGGCCUGCGCGGAAGAUGUAACGGGGCUAAACCAUGCACCGAAGCUGCGGCAGCGACACUAUGUGUUGUUGGGUAGGGGAGCGUUCUGUAAGCCGUCGAAGGUGUGUCGUGAGGCAUGCUGGAGGUAUCAGAAGUGCGAAUGCUGACAUAAGUAACGAUAAAGCGGGUGAAAAGCCCGCUCGCCGGAAGACCAAGGGUUCCUGUUCAACGUUAAUCGGAGCAGGGUGAGUCGACCCCUAAGGCGAGGCCGAAAGGCGUAGUCGAUGGGAAACAGGUUAAUAUUCCUGUACUCGGUGUUACUGCGAAGGGGGGACGGAGAAGGCUAUAUCAGCCGGGCGACGGUUGUCCCGGUUUAAGCGUGUAGGCGGAGGGUCCAGGUAAAUCCGGACUCUUUUAACGCUGAGGCGUGACGACGAGGCACUACGGUGCUGAAGUGAUAAAUGCCCUGCUUCCAGGAAAAGCCUCUAAGCAUCAGGUAACACAGAAUCGUACCCCAAACCGACACAGGUGGUCAGGUAGAGAAUACCAAGGCGCUUGAGAGAACUCGGGUGAAGGAACUAGGCAAAAUGGUGCCGUAACUUCGGGAGAAGGCACGCUGGCGCGUAGGUGAAGGGACUUGCUCCCGGAGCUGAAGCCAGUCGAAGAUACCAGCUGGCUGCAACUGUUUAUUAAAAACACAGCACUGUGCAAACACGAAAGUGGACGUAUACGGUGUGACGCCUGCCCGGUGCCGGAAGGUUAAUUGAUGGGGUUAUCCGCAAGGAGAAGCUCUUGAUCGAAGCCCCGGUAAACGGCGGCCGUAACUAUAACGGUCCUAAGGUAGCGAAAUUCCUUGUCGGGUAAGUUCCGACCUGCACGAAUGGCGUAAUGAUGGCCAGGCUGUCUCCACCCGAGACUCAGUGAAAUUGAACUCGCUGUGAAGAUGCAGUGUACCCGCGGCAAGACGGAAAGACCCCGUGAACCUUUACUACAGCUUGACACUGAACAUUGAGCCUUGAUGUGUAGGAUAGGUGGGAGGCUUUGAAGCGCGGACGCCAGUCUGCGUGGAGCCAUCCUUGAAAUACCACCCUUUAAUGUUUGAUGUUCUAACGUGGCCCCGUGAUCCGGGGUGCGGACAGUGUCUGGUGGGUAGUUUGACUGGGGCGGUCUCCUCCCAAAGAGUAACGGAGGAGCACGAAGGUCAGCUAAUCACGGUCGGACAUCGUGAGGUUAGUGCAAUGGCAUAAGCUGGCUUGACUGCGAGAGUGACGGCUCGAGCAGGUGCGAAAGCAGGUCAUAGUGAUCCGGUGGUUCUGAAUGGAAGGGCCAUCGCUCAACGGAUAAAAGGUACUCCGGGGAUAACAGGCUGAUACCGCCCAAGAGUUCAUAUCGACGGCGGUGUUUGGCACCUCGAUGUCGGCUCAUCACAUCCUGGGGCUGAAGUAGGUCCCAAGGGUACGGCUGUUCGCCGUUUAAAGUGGUACGCGAGCUGGGUUUAGAACGUCGUGAGACAGUUCGGUCCCUAUCUGCCGUGGGCGCUGGAGAAUUGAGGGGGGUUGCUCCUAGUACGAGAGGACCGGAGUGAACGCACCACUGGUGUUCGGGUUGUCAUGCCAAUGGCACUGCCCGGUAGCUAAGUGCGGAAAAGAUAAGUGCUGAAAGCAUCUAAGCACGAAACUUGCCCCGAGAUGAGUUCUCCCUGACCCCUUGAGGGUCCUGAAGGGACGUUGAAGACGACGACGUUGAUAGGCCGGGUGUGUAAGCGCAGCGAUGCGUUGAGCUAACCGGUACUAAUGACCCGUGAGGCUUAACCUUACAACGCCAGAGGCGUUU